rnacentral:rRNA from 1 species
AGUGAACGCUGGCGGCGUGCCUAAUACAUGCAAGUCGAACGAAGUGGCGCACGGGUGAGUAAUAUAUAGUUAAUCUGCCCUACACAGAGGAACAACAGUUGGAAACGACUGCUAAUACAUCAUAGUGUAGGAUGAGACUAUAUCGUAUCAGCUAGUUGGUAAGGUAAUGGCUUUCCAAGGCGAUGACGCGUAACUGGUCUGAUAGGAUGAUCAGUCACAUUGGAACUGAGACACGGUCCAAAAGUCUACGGGAGGCAGCAGAAAGGAAGAUUGCCCAAUGCGGGAAACUCAGACGCAGCAACGCCUCGUGGAGGACGACACUUUUCGGAGCGUAAACUCCUUUUAUCAGGAAAGCGGUACCUGAUGAAUAAGCACCGGCUAACUCCGUGCCAGCAGCCGCGGUAAUAC